UAACAGCUCAAAUUUGAAAUCUGGCUCCCUUGGAGUCCGAGUUGUAAUUUGUAGAAGAUGCUUUGGGUUGUGGGUUCGGCCUAAGUUCCUUGGAACAGGGGGUCAUAGAGGGUGAGAAUCCCGUACGUGGCCGAGGCCUGCGCCUAUGUACAGCUCUUCUCGACGAGUCGAGUUGUUUGGGAAUGCAGCUCAAAAUGGGUGGUAAAUUUCAUCUAAAGCUAAAUAUGGACCAGAGACCGAUAGCGCACAAGUAGAGUGAUCGAAAGAUGAAAAGCACUUUGGAAAGAGAGUUAGCCAGUACGUGAAAUUGUUGAAAGGGAAGCGCUUGCAACCAGACUUGGGCGCUGCCGAUCACCCUGAGUUCUGUCAGGUGCACUCGACAGCGCACAGGCCAGCAUCGGUUCGGGUGGCUGGAUAAAGGCCGUAGGAACGUAGCUCCUCUCGGCAAGUGUUAUAGCCUACACUGCCAUGCAGCCCAGCCGGACCGAGGACCGCGCCUUCGGGCUAGGAUGCUGGCGUAAUGGUUGUAAGCGACCCG
rnacentral:rRNA from 1 species